rnacentral:sRNA from 1 species
GCCAGGCAUGGUGGUGCAUGCCUGUAAUCCCAGCAGCUUGGGAGGCUGAGGCAGGAGGCUCAUGAUUCAAAGCCAGUCACAGCAAAAGACAGCUACUAAGCAACUCAGUGAGACCCUGUCUCUA